rnacentral:rRNA from 1 species
UACGGAGGGGGCUAGCGUUGUUCGGAAUUACUGGGCGUAAAGCGUACGUAGGCGGCUUUGUAAGUUUAGAGGUGAAAGCCCGGGGCUCAACUCCGGAAUUGCCUUUAAGACUGCAUCGCUUGAAUCAUGGAGAGGUGAGUGGAAUUCCGAGUGUAGAGGUGAAAUUCGUAGAUAUUCGGAAGAACACCAGUGGCGAAGGCGACUCACUGGACAUGUAUUGACGCUGGGGUACGAAAGCGUGGGGAGCAAACAGG